UCCUACGGGGGGCAGCAGUGGGGAAUUGUUCGCAAUGGGCGCAAGCCUGACGACGCAACGCCGCGUGGGGGAUGAAUGUCUUCGGAUUGUAAACCCCUGUCGAGCGGGACGAAUAGCCCGCGACCUAACAUGUCGCGGGAAUGACGGUACCGCUAAAGGAAGCCACGGCUAACUCUGUGCCAGCAGCCGCGGUAAUACAGAGGUGGCAAGCGUUGUUCGGAAUUACUGGGCGUAAAGGGCGCGUAGGCGGCCAUCUAAGUCAGACGUGAAAUCCCCCGGCUCAACCUGGGAACUGCGUCUGAUACUGGAUGGCUUGAGUGCGGGAGAGGGAUGCGGAAUUCCAGGUGUAGCGGUGAAAUGCGUAGAUAUCUGGAGGAACACCGGUGGCGAAGGCGGCAUCCUGGACCGACACUGACGCUGAGGCGCGAAAGCUAGGGUAGCAAACGGGAUUAGAUACCCGUGUAGUC
rnacentral:rRNA from 1 species